ensembl:rRNA 5S_rRNA 5S ribosomal RNA
GUCUCAGGCCGUAUCAGCCUGAAGGCGCCCGAUCUCGUCUGAUCUCGGAAGCUAAGCAGGGUCGGGCCUGGUUAGGAUCUUGGAUGAGAGACCACCUGGGAAUCCCGGGUGCUCGAGGCU